rnacentral:lncRNA from 1 species
AAGGUUAACUAGAAUAAGAUUCUAGAUGAUUAUUCUUUCAUAGAUUGUAUUGGAUUAAGAAAGAUUUAAAUGAAGAGAUUGUGCUAAAGAAAUAAUCUAGAAAUAGAAUUAAACUAUCUCAGGGUAAGAUUGGAUCUGGGCUGACUCUGGAUCCACUUGGAUGAGAUCCAAGUGGGGGCUAGUCAACCAAGUCAAAUUGCUAAUACCCCUACCUGAUUGCACCUACAAAAAAGAGUAUGCCCA